UGUGGGGAGAAGGAGAAGAGAGAAGGGGUUGGAUACAUAAAAGCUGUGCAUUGUCUUUUAUAUAUAAACAAAUAUCUACAACACAAAAAGAUAAGUGAAUAUGAGAUUAGGAAAACCGAAUGGGAUUUUUCCUUUUCUUCUUCUUUACGGCCUCCCGCUUGGCAUUGUUGCAUUGAUCCCUCAAAGCGGUGGCCGAUUGCCGAUUACACACUUUCGGUGCUUUUUGUUAUUAUUAUAUCAUCUCUUUCUCCAUAUAAAAUUCUUCAAUUUUCUUUCUUCUUUCUUCUUCUUCUUCUUCUUCUUCUGCUGCUGCUGCAUGUUUUAAUUCACAGGAAUCUUCUUCACCCAAAAGGUUAUGUAAUCAUCCAUCCAUCCAUUACAUUCUUUUGCACAUUUUUGAUUUCUCCAUUACCCUUCAGAUCUGAUUGUUUCUUUCUAAAAUCUAAUUUCAUUUUCUUUUUCUUUAUGAUUUUUAUAUGCUUUGAGUUUCCACUGGAUUUCUUUCUCAAUCGCCGGAGGAGAGGAAGAAGAAGGUGCGGAAAGGGAUACGAAAAAUCAAACAAUGUCAGGAAGGUGUUAAGAUUUCAUAGAGUUAUGCAGCUUCGGUUUAUUUUAUUUGGUGGGACAACCACAACCAUAGUUUGUGGCAUAUUUCACUAAUUAAAUGGCGGGCUGUUGAUCAUGCCCAUAGCUAUUUCCAUGUCGUAUGUCCAACAGUCAUCAUUUUCUAUCAUUGCCUCAAUCUGCAAGGCAAGAAGAAGUGUCAUUCUAUAAAUUUUAAAUUCCUAGUUUCAAGAUUUUGUUUCCUGUUCCAUCUAGAAUCAGAGCAAUGUGCAAAAGCAGAAUGAACAAGUGCUCAGAAGUAAACAGUUUGUUGGAAUCGCUGCACACAUGUUUGGAAUUCAGGUAAAGUUUUCUAUCUUUACUUAGAGAUA